GAGACAGCAGCCGCCGCGGGAAUACAGAGGGUGCAAGCGUUAAUCGGAGUUACUGGGCGUAAAGGGCGCGUAGGCGGUUAUAUAAGUGAGAUGUGAAAUCCCUGGGCUUAACCUAGGAACUGCAUCUUAUACUGUAUGGCUAGAGUAUUGUAGAGGGUAGUGGAAUUUCCGGUGCAGCGGUGAAAUGCGUAGAGAUCGGAAGGAACACCAGUGGCGAAGGCGGCUACCUGGACAAAUACUGACGCUGAGGCGCGAAAGCGUGGGGAGCAAACAGGAUUAGAUACCCCCGUAGUCCCUGUCUCUUAUAC
rnacentral:rRNA from 1 species